UUGCGGGACGUCGAAACUUAAGGUGUGGUAGAAAUUUCUAAAUUUACAGAUGCAAUUUCUGUAAAUAUGUGCACUACCCACGGUGCUACCGUGAUUUUAUUAAACAUGGAACGGUAUAUAAGGGAGCAGAAAGACUCCAAUAUCAUUCAUCUAAGUUUCUGUUCUACGGUGAUAAACAUCAACAGUACGUUAACAUGAGAACCUUAGCAGUAUUUAUGUGUAUAGUAGCAUGUGCUGCAGCACUAGAAGAAGUCAAGAGUAACGGCGAGGAAGAGUUGGUUCGCCAGAAGAGACAAGGUAACUCCUAUUGGGAUCGAUAUCAGCAGGAGCAACAGGCUUACCAGGACCAACAGCGCCAGAUGGAAGAGGAACGUGAAGCCGCCAUGCAGGAAUAUGAACAACAACAGCGCGACGAGGCCGAAAAACGGUUCCAAGAAGAAAUGGACGCUAUGUACGGUGAUCGGGUCAAACGGGCAACCGGCGAGGAGGAGGAUCUCGUACGACAGAAACGACAAGCUUAUGGUUAUGGAGGCUCCGGAUUGGGAGGUUAUGGUGGCGGGUAUGGUGGAUACGGUCAGGCAGCUGAUCCAGCGGCUAUGGAUGCUAUGAGAUACGGAAGUAGUUAUGGUGCGAUGAAUGCAGGUGCAGCCUACGGCGGUUAUGGUCAAGCCAUGGACCCAAAUGCUGCCUAUGGAGGUGGUUAUGGCUAUGGACCAUGAAUGUAUUAAAACUAUUUUAGAUAGAUAUCUAAUAACUUGAUUUAUUGUAUAUACGUAAAUCAUUGAGAAUUUAUAGACUUUGUAGUUAUAGAAAAUAAAAGAAAUAUAUUAAUAUAA